AGAACUUUUAAAAAUGCUGCAAAUAGGAGCGUCGGGGUUUUUUUUUUUUUUUUCUUUUUUUUUCUUUCUGCUUUAUUUAACCCUCCUCUUUCAAUGUGGAAGAACUGGACUGAUUUUCCUUCUCCUCUGUGCUUUGCUUGGCUGUACUGUAUAUCGCAAUGUUGAGGUUACAGCUCCAAGUAUUUUCCCCUCCGCUGAUCCUUUUCUCUCUCCCUCUUUUUCCUCGGUAAAAGAAAUUGAUUUCUUUGAGCAGUGAAUCGGGCUUUGCUAGUUUGUAUGCUGUGAGAAUGAAGGCCUUUUAUUUGCGAUUUUUUUUCCCCUCCGAGUAUCAGUGCACUGUGCUGCUUACCGAACAAGCUCGUCUCUCUCUGGCUUUCUCUUUAAUAUAUUUUUUUAAUUGCUUUAGGUAUCUGUGCCAUGUGAAAUAGGGCAGAUGAUAUCCCUCCAAACCCCUUGUAAUUCGACCAUGGCUGAAAAUGGAAAUAUUGCAGGCCUCCCAUUGUUGUUGCCGGGAGCUGGCAGCCAGGGCUGGCGGUGGCAGGGGGAAGCAUGCGGACGAGGGAGCCGGAGCCCGGUUGCUAGCACAUUAGCCUGGAUGCAGUCUCCCUGUAAGGAGCGUGAAAUUUACAGCUGCAGAACUACAGUUUUAAGCCACAAAAGCUCUUCCUCAUCUGAACCUUCAUUCAAAACACAGGAUGAAAGUAGCUGA
rnacentral:lncRNA from 1 species